CCUACGGGGGGCAGCAGUGGGGGAUAUUGCACAAUGGGGGAAACCCUGAUGCAGCGACGCCGCGUGGGUGAAGGAGUAAUUCGGUAUGUAAAGCUCUAUCAGCAGGGAAGAAAAUGACGGGACCUGAGUAAAAAGCCCCGGCUAACUACGGGCCAGCAGCCGCGGUAAUACGGAGGGGGAAAGCCUUAUCCGGAUUUACUGGGGGUAAAGGGGGCGUAGACGGCAGUGCAAGUCUGGAGUGAAAGGCGGGGGCCCAACCCCCGGACUGCUCUGGAAACUGUACGGCUGGAGUGCAGGAGAGGUAAGUGGAAUUCCUGGUGUAGCGGUGAAAUGCGUAGAUAUUAGGAGGAACACCAGUGGCGAAGGCGGCUUACUGGACUGUAACUGACGUUGAGGCUCGAAAGCGUGGGGAGCAAACAGGAUUAGAUACCCGAGUAGUC
rnacentral:rRNA from 1 species